GUAGGGUCCGAGCGUUAUCCGGAAUCAUUGGGCGUAAAGAGCUCGUAGGCGGUUCAGCAAGUCGGCUGUGAAAGUUCGAGGCUCAACCUCGAAAUUGCAGUCGAUACUGCUGUGACUUGAAUUCGGUAGAGGAGAAUGGAAUUCCCGGUGUAGCGGUGAAAUGCGCAGAUAUCGGGAGGAGCACCAGUAGCGAAGGCGGUUCUCUGGGCCGAUAUUGACGCUGAGGAGCGAAAGCGUGGGGGGAGCAAACAGGAUUAGAUACCCUGGUAGUCCACGCCCGUAAACGUUGGAUGCUAGGUGUGGCGGUCUACCAACGACUGCCGUGCCGAAGCUAACGCAUUAAGCAUCCCCGCCUGGGGAGUACGGCCGCAAGGCUA
rnacentral:rRNA from 1 species